ACGGAUACGUGUGGACGGUGAAAACGAUUCAAAUACGCUGCGUGUGGACGCGAACAUUUUCGUAUCCGCCAAAAAAAUUUGGAUACGUGUGGACAGGGCCUAAAUGGAGAAGUUAUGGGUCUAAAGGAAAUUUUACACUGAAGCGGGAGAUUCUGGUUUCAAAAAGGCCACGGAAAGAGUUCGAAAAAGAGCUGCAAAAUUGCUGUUGAAAAGUCAACCGAAUCAAUCUAAUAACGUGAACACGAAUAUAGAGGAAGAAUGUGACAGAAGCCAAGCAGAUGACGACCUUGAAUCUUCCGCGGAAGACGGAAUGACAACGAGAACAAUGCUUCUCUUCGUCUUGAUAUUGACAGCAACGAUAUGAGAUUCUCUGUUGAUGCACAAGGUGGUACGGAUGGCUUGGCAACACGUACUCAUGUCCUAGAUAAAAUAAUGCAGCCAGACGAAAAGACUGGCCAUUAAAAAAUGGGCAGAUACCAUUUCUGAUUCCAGCUCAAGUUCGAAUGAAUAAAAUAACAAAAAUACAGACAGCUCAGUGAACGUUAAGUGGUAUUUAACUACCAGUAAGUUACAAUGUAACCGACGUCCUGGGUUUUAGUUUAUUUUGUUCAUUGUAACUUGGCGAGUUUACCCGCACAUGCGGAUUAUAUAUAAUGUUCAUUCUUAUUAAAUCUUCAUUGCCAGUAUAGCUUUCUUGUUAGCUUUUACGUCCAUGCUUACACUUCAAAUGAUAUAAAGUCAUAACUUUUUACUGAAUAUGCUCUUCAAUGAAUUUGGACGGUAAAUAAAAUUGACGCCGCUAUAUCGUUAUCAUAUCAUAUGCUAACGGCUAUAUUAAAUAAAUAUAUAUCUAGCUACGCAGUAGGUGUGCUUGGUGCUGAUAACAAAUGUACUUGCGUUGAUAAGAAUAUGUUAUGUUCAUGCUUGUGACUAAAAAAAUGUUUGUUAAAAGGAAAAAUAAAUGUCAUUUAUGCCAA